UACGAAGGGGGCUAGCGUUGCUCGGAAUUACUGGGCGUAAAGGGCGCGUAGGCGGACAGUUUAGUCAGAGGUGAAAGCCCAGGGCUCAACCUUGGAAUUGCCUUUGAUACUGGCUGUCUUGAGUACGGGAGAGGUGUGUGGAACUCCGAGUAUAGAGGUGAAAUUCGUAGAUAUUCGGAAGAACACCAGUGGCGAAGGCGACACACUGGCCCGUUACUGACGCUGAGGCGCGAAAGCGUGGGGAGCAAACAGG
rnacentral:rRNA from 1 species